CCCCGGUAAACGGCGGCCGUAACUAUAACGGUCCUAAGGUAGCGAAAUUCCUUGUCGGGUAAGUUCCGACCUGCACGAAUGGCGUAAUGAUGGCCAGGCUGUCUCCACCCGAGACUCAGUGAAAUUGAACUCGCUGUGAAGAUGCAGUGUACCCGCGGCAAGACGGAAAGACCCCGUGAACCUUUACUAUAGCUUGACACUGAACAUUGAGCCUUGAUGUGUAGGAUAGGUGGGAGGCUUUGAAGUGUGGACGCCAGUCUGCAUGGAGCCGACCUUGAAAUACCACCCUUUAAUGUUUGAUGUUCUAACGUGGACCCGUUACCCGGGUUGCGGACAGUGUCUGGUGGGUAGUUUGACUGGGGCGGUCUCCUCCUAAAGAGUAACGGAGGAGCACGAAGGUUGGCUAAUCCUGGUCGGACAUCAGGAGGUUAGUGCAAUGGCAUAAGCCAGCUUGACUGCGAGCGUGACGGCGCGAGCAGGUGCGAAAGCAGGUCAUAGUGAUCCGGUGGUUCUGAAUGGAAGGGCCAUCGCUCAACGGAUAAAAGGUACUCCGGGGAUAACAGGCUGAUACCGCCCAAGAGUUCAUAUCGACGGCGGUGUUUGGCACCUCGAUGUCGGCUCAUCACAUCCUGGGGCUGAAGUAGGUCCCAAGGGUAUGGCUGUUCGCCAUUUAAAGUGGUACGCGAGCUGGGUUUAGAACGUCGUGAGACAGUUCGGUCCCUAUCUGCCGUGGGCGCUGGAGAACUGAGGGGGGCUGCUCCUAGUACGAGAGGACCGGAGUGGACGCAUCACUGGUGUUCGGGUUGUCAUGCCAAUGGCACUGCCCGGUAGCUAAAUGCGGAAGAGAUAAGUGCUGAAAGCAUCUAAGCACGAAACUUGCCCCGAGAUGAGUUCUCCCUGAGACUUAGAGUCUCCUGAAGGAACGUUGAAGACGACGACGUUGAUAGGCCGGGUGUGUAAGCGCAGCGAUGCGUUGAGCUAACCGGUACUAAUGAACCGUGAGGCUUAACCUU
rnacentral:rRNA from 1 species